rnacentral:RNase_P_RNA from 1 species
CGGAGCGGGUGCAUGAUCGCUCCGGCUGCUAGAUGAACCGGAGAGGAAAGUCCGAACUCCGCAGGGCAGAAUGGUUCGUAACGCGAACGCCGGGUAACCGGCGGAAAGUGCCACAGAAAACAAACCGCCUGAUUCGUUCAGGUAAGGGUGAAACGGCGAGGUAAGAGCUCACCGCUCUUGUGGUGACACAAGGGGCACGGUAAACCCCAUUCGGAGCAAGACCAAAUAGAGAGAUGUUUGAGGGCGGCCCGUCCGAGAUCUCCGGGUAGGUUGCAUGAGGUGUCGGGCAACCGACAUCCUUAGUUAAAUGAUCAUGGCCCUUAGGGGUACAGAAUUCGGCUUAUAGCCCGCUCUUUUUU